rnacentral:rRNA from 1 species
GACGAACGCUGGCGGCGUGCUUAACACAUGCAAGUCGAACGGUAAGGCCCUGCUUUUUUGGGGUGCUCGAGUGGCGAACGGGAGAGUAACACGUGAGUAACCUGCCCUUUACUUUGGGAUACCUUCAGGAAACCGGGGCUAAUACCGGACAGGAGCUCCUGCUGCCUGGUGGGGGUUGGAAAGUUUCGGCGGUUGGGGAUGGACUCGCGGCUUAUCAGCUUGUUGGUGGGGUAGUGGCUUACCAAGGCGUUGACGGGUAGCCGGCCUGAGAGGGUGACCGGCCACAUUGGGACUGAGAUACGGCCCAGACUCCUACGGGAGGCAGCAGUGGGGAAUAGUGCACAAUGGGCGGAAGCCUGAUGCAGCAACGCCGCGUGGGGGAUGACGGCCUUCGGGUUGUAAACCGCUUUCGCGUGUGACGAAGCGUGAGUGACGGUAAUGGGUAAAGAAGCACCGGCUAACUACGUG